UACGGAGGUGCAAGCGUUAUCCGGAUUUACUGGGUUUAAAGGGUGCGUAGGCGGGCCUUUAAGUCAGUGGUGAAAGCUCCGAGCUUAACUCGGAAACUGCCAUUGAGUACUAUUGGUCUUGAAUUCGGUCGAGGUGCGGAAUGUGUCGUGUAGCGGUGAAUGCUUAGAUAUGACACAGAACACCGAUUGCGAAGGCAGCUAGCUAGACCGACAUUGACGCUGAGGCACGAAAGCGUGGGGGAUCAAACACGGA
rnacentral:rRNA from 1 species